rnacentral:rRNA from 1 species
UACGGAGGGUCCAAGCGUUAUCCGGAAUCACUGGGUUUAAAGGGUGCGUAGGCGGAAGAUUAAGUCUAAGUUGAAAGUAUGUCGCUCAACGAUAUAGUUGGCAUGGAUACUGGUUUUCUUGAAUUGGGUUGAGGAUAGCGGAAUGUGACAUGUAGCGGUGAAAUGCAUAGAUAUGUCAUAGAACACCAAAUGCGAAGGCAGCUAUCUGGGCCUUGAUUGACGCUGAGGCACGAAAGCGUGGGGAUCGAACAGG